rnacentral:rRNA from 1 species
GACCUCAGAUCAGGUAGGAAUACCCGCUGAACUUAAGCAUAUCAAUAAGCGGAGGAAAAGAAACCAACAGGGAUUGCUCAGUAACGGCGAGUGAAGCGGCAACAGCUCAAAUUUGAAAUCUGGCCUCUGGCCCGAGUUGUAAUUUGCAGAGGAUGUUUCUGGCGAGGUGCCUUCCGAGUUCCCUGGAACGGGACGCCAUAGAGGGUGAGAGCCCCGUACGGUUGGUCGCUAAGCCUCUGUGAAACUCCUUCGACGAGUCGAGUAGUUUGGGAAUGCUGCUCUAAAUGGGAGGUGUACGCCUUCUUAAGCUAAAUACCGGCUAGAGACCGAUAGCGCACAAGUAGAGUGAUCGAAAGAUGAAAAGCACUUUGAAAAGAGGGUUAAAAAGUACGUGAAAUUGUUGAAAGGGAAGCGCUCUUGACCAGACUUGCGCCGGUUGAUCAUCCGCCGUUCUCGGUGGUGCACUCUGCCGGCUCAGGCCAGCAUCAGUUCGGUCCGGGGGAUAAAGGCUUCGGGAAUGUGGCUCUCUCCGGGGAGUGUUAUAGCCCGUUGCGUAAUACCCUGGGCUGGACUGAGGUUCGCGCAUCUGCAUGGAUGCUGGCGUAAUGGUUAU